GUCCCCUUNNNUCUAGAGGCCUAGGACACCGCCCUUUCACGGCGGUAACAGGGGUUCGAAUCCCCUAGGGGACGCCA
rnacentral:tRNA from 1 species